rnacentral:sRNA from 1 species
AUACACAAUAGACUCUGAUACGAUCUGCUUGGAAGGGGACAUAAACCAGCAAGCGGAUGCAGGUUAAUAAAACCCGAAAAAGCCCAGACAGGAACACUUAAAAUGCCCAGAACAAAGCACACCAUGACCAAUUCUCACCCAACACACAAGUACACGCACCAUAAUAUUCCCAGGCCA